GUAGGUCCCGAGCGUUGUCCGGAUUUAUUGGGCGUAAAGCGAGCGCAGGCGGUUAGAUAAGUCUGAAGUUAAAGGCUGUGGCUUAACCAUAGUAUGCUUUGGAAACUGUUUAACUUGAGUGCAGAAGGGGAGAGUGGAAUUCCAUGUGUAGCGGUGAAAUGCGUAGAUAUAUGGAGGAACACCGGUGGCGAAAGCGGCUCUCUGGUCUGUAACUGACGCUCAGGUGCGAAAGCGUGGGGAGCAAACAGGAUUAGAUACCCUGGUAGUCCACGCCGUAAACGAUGUCGACUUGGAGGUUGUGCCCUUGAGGCGUGGCUUCCGGAGCUAACGCGUUAAGUCGACCGCCUGGGGAGUACGGCCGCAAGGUUAAAACUCAAAUGAAUUGACGGGGGCCCGCACAAGCGGUGGAGCAUGUGGUUUAAUUCGAUGCAACGCGAAGAACCUUACCUACUCUUGACAUCCAGA
rnacentral:rRNA from 1 species